rnacentral:rRNA from 1 species
CACGUAGUUAGCCGGGGCUUCUUAGUCAGGUACCGUCCAAAGUCCUGUGGACUUUUUUUCUUUCCCUGCUGAUAGAGCUUUACGUACCGAAAUACUUCUUCACUCACGCGGCGUCGCUGCAUCAGGGUUUCCCCCAUUGUGCAAUAUCCCCCACUGCUGCCUCCCGUAGGAGUCUGGGCCGUGUCUCAGUCCCAAUGUGGCCGUUCACCCUCUCAGGCCGGCUACUGAUCGUUGCCUUGGUGGGCUUUUACCUCACCAACUAGCUAAUCAGACGCGGAACCAUCGUAUACCACCGGAGUUUUUCACACUGCUUCAUGCGAAGCUGUGCGCUUAUGCGGUAUUAGCACCUAUUUCUAAGUGUUAUCCCCCAGUAUACGGCAGGUUUUCCACGCGUUACUCACCCGUCCGCCACUAACUUAUAAUUCACUAGGUUUCGUUAUAAGUCCGUUCGACUUGCAUGUGUUAGGCACGCCGCCAGCGUUCAUCCUGAGCCAGGAUCAAACUCUA